UUGUAAAGUACUUUCAGCAGUGAGGAAGGUGGGUAUGUUAAUAGCAUACUCAUUUGACGUUAGCUGCAGAAGAAGCACCGGCUAACUCCGUGCCAGCAGCCGCGGUAAUACGGAGGGUGCGAGCGUUAAUCGGAAUUACUGGGCGUAAAGCGCAUGCAGGUGGUUUGUUAAGUCAGAUGUGAAAGCCCGGGGCUCAACCUCGGAAUUGCAUUUGAAACUGGCAAACUAGAGUACUGUAGAGGGGGUAGAAUUUCAGGUGUAGCGGUGAAAUGCGUAGAGAUCUGAAGGAAUACCGGUGGCGAAGGCGGCCCCCCUGGACAGAUACUGACACUCAGAUGCGAAAGCGUGGGGAGCAAACAGGAUUAGAUACCCUGGUAG
rnacentral:rRNA from 1 species